rnacentral:ncRNA from 1 species
CCAAAGUUUUAUUCUUGCUUAUUUAUUCACUUUUUCUUUGAAUUAUAUGUAAGUUUUGUGAAACUAAAUGUUCUUUUUUGCAGUAAUUUGAUUUAAUUAUCAAGUGAUUUUGGAAUUAGCAAUUGAUUUAGUAUCGGCAUAUUUCGUGCCAGCAGCCGCGGUUAUACGAUUGAUACAAGUGAAUAUUAUUGGUUGAAACAGUUAUUUAUAUUUUUGAGUUUAAUUGUUAAUUUAUAAGGUGAAAUUUAAAAUUUUUUAAAAAUUCUUUUUAUGAGUCUGUGAAACUUAAAUAAUAAACUAGGAUUAGAUACCCUAUUAUUUUAAGUGUUAAUUUUGCUUACCAGGGUAGUAUUAGUUAAGAUCUCUAAACCCAAAGAAUUUGGCGGUAUCUCAUUCCAUUCAGAGGAACCUAUCCCGUGAUUGAUAGUACACGAUUGACUUUACUUAAUUUAUUUGUUUGUAUAUCUCCGUUAUCAGAAAGUCUUUUUAGAGUUAUAAUUUUCUAGAUUUAUAAUUAUAAAGUAUUUCAGGUCAAGGUGCAGCUUAUAAUUAAGAGGAGAUGGGUUACAAUAGGUUUUUGUCUAUUACGGAUUUGAUGGUGAAAAACUUUUAAUGAAGGUGGAUUUGAUAGUAAUUUAAUUUAGUUAAUUUAAUUGAUAUUGGCUCUGAGGUGUGUACACAUCGCCCGUCGCUCUCAUUAUUGAUUUUUAUACUUAAGAUAUAUUUGAUAGGGUAUUUUCAAAUUAGAUGAGAUAAGUCGUAACAUAGUAGAUGUACUGGAAAGUGUAUCUAGUAAGGAUAU